UGCAAGUCGAACGGUGAUGGCCAGCUUGCUGGUCUGAUCAGUGGCGAACGGGUGAGUAACACGUGAGCAACCUACCCCAGACUCUGGAAUAACCAUGGGAAACGAUGGCUAAUACCGGAUACGAGACGCACACGCAUGUGUGGUGUCUGGAAAGAUUUAUCGGUCUGGGAUGGGCUCGCGGCCUAUCAGCUUGUUGGUGGGGUAGUGGCCUACCAAGGCGACGACGGGUAGCCGGCCUGAGAGGGCGACCGGCCACACUGGGACUGAGAUACGGCCCAGACUCCUACGGGAGGCAGCAGUGGGGAAUAUUGCACAAUGGGCGCAAGCCUGAUGCAGCGACGCCGCGUGAGGGAUGACGGCCUUCGGGUUGUAAACCUCUUUCAGCAGGGAAGAAGCGCAAGUGACGGUACCUGCAGAAGAAGCGCCGGCUAACUACGUGCCAGCAGCCGCGGUAAUACGUAGGGCGCAAGCGUUGUCCGGAAUUAUUGGGCGUAAAGAGCUCGUAGGCGGUUUGUCGCGUCUGCUGUGAAAACCUAAGGCUCAACCUUGGGCUUGCAGUGGGUACGGGCAGACUAGAGUGCGGUAGGGGUGACUGGAAUUCCUGGUGUAGCGGUGGAAUGCGCAGAUAUCAGGAGGAACACCGAUGGCGAAAGCAGGUCACUGGGCCGCAACUGACGCUGAGGAGCGAAAGCAUGGGGAGCGAACAGGAUUAGAUACCCUGGUAGUCCAUGCCGUAAACGUUGGGCACUAGUGUGGGGCUCAUUCCACGAGUUCCGUGCCGCAGC
rnacentral:rRNA from 1 species